rnacentral:rRNA from 1 species
AGUGAACGCUGGCGGUAGGCCUAACACAUGCAAGUCGAACGGCAGCACAGUAAGAGCUUGCUCUUACGGGUGGCGAGUGGCGGACGGGUGAGGAAUACAUCGGGAUCUACUUUUUCGUGGGGGAUAACGUAGGGAAACUUACGCUAAUACCGCAUACGACCUACGGGUGAAAGCAGGGGAUCUUCGGACCUUGCGCGAUUGAAUGAGCCGAUGUCGGAUUAGCUAGUUGGCGGGGUAAAGGCCCACCAAGGCGACGAUCCGUAGCUGGUCUGAGAGGAUGAUCAGCCACACUGGAACUGAGACACGGUCCAGACUCCUACGGGAGGCAACAGUGGGGAAUAUUGGACAAUGGGCGCAAGCCUGAUCCAGCCAUACCGCGUGGGUGAAGAAGGCCUUCGGGUUGUAAAGCCCUUUUGUUGGGAAAGAAAAGCAGCAGGUUAAUACCCCGCUGUUCUGACGGUACCCAAAGAAUAAGCACCGGCUAACUUCGUG